GUUAGCAUGAGCAUCCAUGUCUAGAAAUAGAUUUUGCACUGCAUAUGAGGGCUUCAUGGUCAUGAAAUCAUCUCUCAAGUUUCUGAAGCCACGUCUUAUUUGUUAAUAAGUUUGCUGCAUGUGAAUGAUAUGGUGUCCAGGGUAAGUAGUAUACAUCAAUGGGCAAAGAAAAAAACAAGUCAAAAUCAAAGAGAAAUUGAAAGAUAAAAAAUGCACAGAAAACUUGUAAAGUAAUACUUAGCAUUAUUUUGGUGAACUUAAUUCUUAUAAUUUCAGGGCAAUGGAAACUACAGCUGAUAUAGCUCAAGUACUCAAGGGCUCAGAGAAUUUGAAAGUGUUGUCCAUCAUCCAUUUAUGGUAUAGUCUCAUCUCUGGAUUGACUUCUAAAAUAACCUUCACAUUGUCUCUAAAUCUUGGUACAUUGUCUACAAUGAAGAAAAAAUAUCAACAUUGGAAUGAGUUUGAGCUAAAAUGUGGAAUGCACCUCAGAAAACAGUCGUGCAAGCAAGUAGGUGCAUAAUGAGGAUUUUCCAAACUCUAACCCUGAAGGAAAUGCAUGAUGAUGGUAUGGCUAGAAUGUCAUUUUGUGCCUGCACAGAUCCCGAGCUUUCAAUAUGCACUUUUCAAACCGACCGUGUGACAGGGAAUGGGAGAGACACUGCAUUUAUUGAAGUCAUUUUCUUUGCCUCUGGCUUUUGCCUGCUUUUUUACUUGAAAAAUUUCUCAACUCACCUCAUGAUGAUGCUUCAAAUCAUUUGUUUCAGCACAUUUAUUCAAACGUGUCUAAAAACUAAACAAAUACUCAGCACAAGUUAAAUUGAAAAUAAAUGGCAAUCAGUCAAUUUUGAAUGUAUUCACCUUUGGCACUUGCCAAGUACAUAUGUGUGUUUAGAGGAAAAACGUGAAUAAAAGUUGCAGUAAGCGUAUGUCUCAUGAACAAUGAUUUUAAUGAACUAUUUUCUUUAUUGGAGAAAGACUGACUUUUUAGCGCCUUAUUCUCAACAUUCAUUAGCAGCUUAUUUCUGGAAGCCCUUCUCUUAAUGAUAAGGCAUUAUCAGAUGUCAAGCAAGGCACAGAAGAUUUGUUUGAAUGCACAAUUUU
rnacentral:lncRNA from 1 species